CCCAGCCACUAGGGGUACUCUGGCGAAGCCCAUGGGAAAUAAAAGAAAUAUAGUCUAAGUGAAUUGGGAAGAGUAAGAAUGAAAACUAAAGAAAGACUGUAAACGGUUGUUACCUGUGCUGACAUGAUAAAAAGUGGAGUACACAGUACUUUUCGCGUUGUAGUUUAUAUGAUAAGCUCAUUGGAAGGGUAACAAAUUUGGAGGCACCGCUGAGAUGUAUUUUCAUGUGAGCACCGGCCCAUAUUCCUGGAACGGACAACGAGUGAGAGACAUUGGGAGAGUAGCUAGCUAGCUAACGUUAGCAGGCUAACCACCUAACGGAGUGUAGCUAUCUUGCCAAUGUCUGCAUUGUAGUUGUUGCCACGUGAGUAGGACAAUAUGAGUCGAGAGAGGAAAACGUUGUUGGAUGAAAUCUAACAGAGUUUAUGGACUUUAACUGAGGACAAUUUACGGCACCUGUGUGUAGUUGUGGAAUAGGAGGUGUAGAUGACUGAAGUAAAAGGAAAGAGCCAUCGCGCUUUGCGGCGAAAAUUGAUGGAAGAUUACUGUGAGAAGGAAGCUUUAAUGGAAUCAGAGGAUGAGGGAAUGUCUUGCCUGCUUCAGCUGAAAGACGAAAUCAAAGGAAUAUCGGACUCUGAGGAUACAAUAUAUAUAUAAAGUCUGCUUUACAAAUCCCAGCCAGUCGGCGCCAACGAGGCAAGUGGACAGCAAUGUGGAACGCCGUUUGGGUCUUUGCGUGUCAAAAAGAUACACGUCAAAUAACACUAUUUGACACGUCAAAUAAGCUUCUUUAGCAAUCAGGACCUGAAUAUGACUCCAGGCUAGAGACCAUGUUGCGGAGCCUUCGGUGGGCAAGUGGUCAUUUGAUUGAUGAAGAGAUGGCCAGCAAUCUAAUUGCUGUUGCCGAGGAGUUCCUACAAGAGGCAAAUGACAUCUAACAACGGGAACCUUACGAAAAUGCCAAUGUCCUGUCAAGCGCCUUUGGAGGGGAGGCGGUAUCACAUCACCAAGGAGCAGCUUGAGUUCCUCAUAGAUUGUCAUAUGACCAUCAGACAAAUGGCAGAUGUUCUCAAUGUGUCGCACUCUGUGGUCAAGUUGCGCAUGAGGUGUAGGAUUGUUAUCCAUGGUGCUGUGGAUGGUUACAGCAGACUUGUUGUGUUUCUGAAGGCCUCUGACAACAACAGGACCGCCACAGUCAUGGAGUCAUUCGAAGCAGCCAUCACCAGCUACGGAACAACAUCCCAGGUGAGAUGUGACCGGGUGGUGAAAACAACCGCAUCUGUGCCUUCAUGGAGCAGUUCAGGGGUGGUGAGAGGGGAAGUGCCCUCAGAGGAAGGAGCACUCACAACCAGAGGAUAGAGCGGCUGUGGGGGGACGUCUGGCAUGGAGUCUCCAACGUUUACCAUGACCUGUUCACCUUCUUGGAGACGGAGCAGAUCAUCGACAUCAACAAUGAGGUGCACCUGUGGGCACUGCACUUUGCGUUCCUGCCACGGGUGAACAGAGAUCUUGCUGUGUUUGCCAGUCAGUGGAACCACCAUGGGCUGAGGACUGUCUCGGGUUCCCUGGCAAUGCAGAGGGCCAAUCUGACAGCAGUAAGGGAUUUGUUCGCCCCAAAUUCAGCCACCAUCAGCUCUCAAGCCACCACCUCAGUUCCUCCAACCACCACCUCAGUUCCUCCAACCACCACCUCAGUUCCUCCAACCACCACCUCAGCUCCUCCAACCACCACCUCAGCUCCUCCAACCACCACCUCAGUUCCUCCAACCACCACCUCAGUUCCUCCAACCACCACCUCAGUUCCUCCAACCACCACCUCAGUUCCUCCAACCACCACCUCAGUUCCUCCAACCACCACCUCAGUUCCUCCAACCACCACCUCAGCUCCCCCAACCACUGGCGCCGCAGCUCUUUAUUGGUCGUAAUGGGUGAUUGUGCCACAAAUCCAGUUCACCAUCAUCACACACAGAUGGAACUGUUGCGGACUACAUACACCCCUGAUACUCCCCUACUGGGAUGAGGGAUUGGACACUAUAUCUUCAGCGCCACUCGUUCCUACUUCAACCUGACUUACUACAUACACCCCUGAUACUCCCCUACUGGGAUGAGGGAUUGGACACUAUAUCUUCAGCGCCACACAUUCCUUUUAAUCAGUUCAUUUUUAUAAUACUAUUAUACAUUUUAUAAUACUAACAUUCCCCCUCUUUCACACACUGUAUGAUUUGGUCUGUCAAUUCCAUACAAUUAUAUGAUUCAGGGCGGAAUAUUCUAAUCAUUCAAUUAACAGAUAAAUCCAACUAACAACUACUCAAAUUUAUUUGACUCAUUAAGUCAAAGACGUAAUUAACUGCGAUACACUGGUCUGAAAUAUAUUAGCAUAAGUAGGCUACACAGUAGUUGACUCAAAGAGAGAGAAAGACAAUAGUUUUAAAGUUUUGAACAAAUUAAUUUGUUCAAAACUUAAUCAGCUAGCGACUGAACGUGGCUAGUUUAGCCUACUCAAACACCUGGCUCAAACAGAGAGGGUUGCUAUGCUGGCUAUGGCUAUCCAACAUUGGAACUCUUUCAAGUCAAUGUAAGCUUUUGAUUUGAUUAAUCUAUUGCCACCGGGGCCCGCUGGUGUACCUGCUAAACUGCUUGCUGUGCACUAUACUGCAUGAUUGUAGUGGGUUCAGUAACACGUUAGUUCUAGUAGAUAUGUUGACUUUGACGUUAGCUAAUAUGGUGACAACGAUGUAGGCUGUGUGUAGCGGUUAUGGUAUGAAGGUUAGGCUUGGAAAGGUUUUUUCGCCUGGUCACAGACGACUUUUGUGCUGUGCAAUAUUAUCCACAAGCGAAGGGAGAAGGUGAGAGGAAGAGAGCGAGUAGAUGCAAGAAGAAAUUAUACCACGAGCAGUGAUCAUGCUGUUUGCAGUGUUGUAAAGUACUUAAGUAAAAAUACUUGAAAGUACUACUUAAGUAGUUUGUUUGGGUAUCUGUACUUUGCUAUUUAUAUUUUUGACUACCUUUACUUCACUACAUUCCUAAAGAAAAUGAUGUACUUUUUCUCUGACACCCAAAAGUACUUGUUACAUUUUGAAUGCUUAGAAUGACAGGAAAAUUGUCUAAUUCACACCCUUAUCAAGAGAACAUCCCUGGUCAUCCCUACUGCCUCUGAUCUGGUGGACUCACUAAACACUUGCUUAAUUUACAAAUGAUGUCUGAGUGUUAGAGCGUGCCCCUGGCUAUCCAUAAAUAAAAAACAUAAAAUGGUACCAUAUGGUUUGAUUAAUAUAAGGAAUUUGAAAUUAUUUAUUUACUUUUUGAUACCUAAGUAUAUUUGAACAAUUACAUUUACUUUUGAUACUUAAGUAGAUUUAAAACCAAAUACUUUUGAACUUUUACUCAAGUAGGAUUGUACUGGGUGACUUUUACUUGAGUCAUUUUCUAUUAAGGUAUCUUUACUUUUACUCAAGUAUGACAAUUGGGUACUUUUUCCACCUGGCUGUUUAUAUGUGGCUGCUAUGAAAGUGAACUCUGUUUCAGUUGAUAAAAAUGUUUCUUAAAUGUAAUGAAAUGGCCCUAAACAUACAUAAAUGUAUCCAAAAGAAGCUGUCGUUUGCAACUGUUGGACUAAUGAUUACACCCUAGACCAGCUAGAUGCAGGCAAGAGUGUGCAAGGCAGUAUUGAAUGUGUCACUGUCUGUCACCUACUCACCUUGAUUACUCACAUUUUUCUCUUGACCUGUGUACCUACAGUAUGUUUUAAACUUGAAUUUGUAGGCUAGGUUGUUGCAACCUCAUGAUGGGUAUGGGGAAAAUUUGAGUAUUAUGUAAUAGUCUAAACCUUUCGACGUUACAUUGAGCUUGGUGAAUGGAAUAUGAAGAACAGUUAUCCAAUAUGCUGUAAUAUAAAUAAGGCCAUGCUCAUAAAAUUAAGUAAUCGUCCUCCCUCAUCUUAAACGGCACCGACCGCCACAGAGUAUGGCUGCAUAGAUUCCCUUUGGCUGUAAGAUGCUUUCAAUGGUAGUCUAUUCCCGUGUGUGUUGUCAAUAAUUAGGCCUAUUUGUGCAAUAAAUAUGACUCAUCACUCUA